rnacentral:rRNA from 1 species
CCUACGGGGGGCAGCAGUGAGGAAUAUUGGUCAAUGGACGAGAGUCUGAACCAGCCAAGUAGCGUGAAGGAUGACUGCCCUAUGGGUUGUAAACUUCUUUUAUAUGGGCAUAAAAUGUUCAACGUGUGGGUUUUUGUAUGUACCAUAUGAAUAAGGAUCGGCUAACUCCGUGCCAGCAGCCGCGGUAAUACGGAGGAUCCGAGCGUUAUCCGGAUUUAUUGGGUUUAAAGGGAGCGUAGAUGGGUUGUUAAGUCAGUUGUGAAAGUUUGCGGCUCAACCGUAAAAUUGCAAUUGAUACUGGCAGUCUUGAGUACAGUUGAGGUAGGCGGAAUUCGUGGUGUAGCAGUGAAAUGCUUAGAUAUCACGAAGAACCCCGAUUGCGAAGGCAGCUUACUAAACUGUGACUGACAUUGAUGCUCGAAAGUGUGGGUAUCAAACAGGAUUAGAUACCCGAGUAGUC